ACGAACGCUGGCGGCGUGCCUAAUACAUGCAAGUCGAGCGAAUCAUUAGGAGCUUGCUCCUAAUGGUUAGCGGCGGACGGGUGAGUAAACGUGGGCAACCUGCCUGUAAGACUGGGAUAACACCGGGGAAACCGGUGCUAAUACCGGAUAAUUCUUUCUCUCACAUGAGGGAAAGCUGAAAAGUCGGCGCAAGCUGACACUUACAGAUGGGCCCGCGGGCGCAUUAGCUAGUUGGUGAGGGGGUAACGGCUCACCAAGGCGACGAUGCGUAGCCGACCUGAGGAGGGUGGAUCGGCCACACUGGGACUGAGACACGGCCCAGACUCCUACGGGAGGCAGCAGUAGGGAAUCUUCCGCAAUGGACGAAAGUCUGACGGAAGCAAACGCCGCGUGAGUGAUGAAGGCCUUCGGGUCGUAAAACUCUGUUGUUAGGGAAGAACAAGUAUUGGAGUAACUGACGGUACCUUGGACGGUACCUAACCAGAAAGCCACGGCUAACUACGUGCCCAGCAGCCGCGGUAAUACGUAGGUGGCAAGCGUUGUCCGGAAUUAUUGGGGCGUUAAAGCGCGCGGCAGGCGGUCCUCUAAGUCUGAUGUGAAAGCCCACGGCUCAACCGUGGAGGGUCAUUGGAAACUGGGGGACUUGAGUGCAGAAGAGGAAAGCGGAAUUCCACGUGUAGCGGGUGAUGAAUGCGUAGAGAUGGUGGAGGGAACACCAGUGGCGAAGGCGGCUUUCUGGUCUGUAACUGACGCUGAGGCGCGAAAGCGUGGGGAGCAAACAGGAUUAGAUACCCCUGGUAGUCCACUGCCGUAAACGAUGAAGUGCUAAGUUGUUCGAGGGUAUAUCCGCCCUUAGUGCUGAAGCUAACGCAAUUAAGCAUUCCGCCUGGGGAGUACGGUCCGCAAGGCUGAAACUCAAAGGAAUUGACGGGGGCCCGCACAAGCGGUGGAGCAUGUGGUUAAUUCGGACGCAACGCGAAGAACCUUACCCAGGCUUGACAUCUAGUGACCACUCUCGAGAUAGGGUUCCCUUUCUGCGCAGGACCAGCGUGACAGGUGCUGCAUGGUCUGUCGUCAGCUCGUGUCGUGAGAUGUUGGGUUAAGUCCCGCAACGAGCGCAACCCUUGAUCCUUAGUUGCCAUGCCUAAGUGGCGAACUCUCAGGAGACCUGCCAGGUCGAUAAGCUGGAGGAAGGUGGGGAUGACGUCAAAGUCCUCAUGCCCUUUAUGUACCAUGGCUACACACGUGCUACAAUGGGCUGGUACAAAGGCGCAGCUAAACCCGCGAGGGGGAGCCAAUCCAUAAAAAACCAGUUCUCAGUUCGGAUUGCAGGCUGCAACUCGCCUACAUGAAGCUGGAAUCGCUAGUAAUGGCAGGAUCAGCACUGCUGCCGGUGAAUACGUUCCCGGGCCUUGUACACACCGCCCGUCACAUCACGAGAGUAUUGUACUACCGAAGUCUGCUGGCUGUAACCGCUAAGGGAGCCAGCGGCCCUAAGGUAGGACAGAUGUGGGGUGAA
rnacentral:rRNA from 1 species